rnacentral:rRNA from 1 species
UACGAAGGGGGCUAGCGUUGCUCGGAAUUACUGGGCGUAAAGCGCACGUAGGCGGAUUGUUAAGUCGGGGGUGAAAUCCUGGAGCUCAACUCCAGAACUGCCUUCGAAACUGGCGAUCUUGAGUCCGGGAGAGGUGAGUGGAACUGCGAGUGUAGAGGUGAAAUUCGUAGAUAUUCGCAAGAACACCAGUGGCGAAGGCGGACUCACUGGCCCGAUACUGACGCUGAGGUGCGAAAGCGUGGGGA